rnacentral:rRNA from 1 species
UCGGGGUACACGAGCGGCGAACGGGUGAGUAACACGUGGGUAAUCUGCCCUGCACUCUGGGAUAAGCCCGGGAAACUGGGUCUAAUACCGGAUAUGACUACUCCUCGCAUGGGGGGUGGUGGAAAGUUCCGGCGGUGCAGGAUGAACCCGCGGCCUAUCAGCUUGUUGGUGGGGUAGUGGCCUACCAAGGCGACGACGGGUAGCCGGCCUGAGAGGGUGACCGGCCACACUGGGACUGAGACACGGCCCAGACUCCUACGGGAGGCAGCAGUGGGGAAUAUUGCACAAUGGGCGAAAGCCUGAUGCAGCGACGCCGCGUGAGGGAUGACGGCCUUCGGGUUGUAAACCUCUUUCGCCAGGGACGAAGCGCAAGUGACGGUACCUGGAGAAGAAGCACCGGCUAACUACGUGCCAGCAGCCGCGGUAAUACGUAGGGUGCGAGCGUUGUCCGGAAUUAUUGGGCGUAAAGAGCUCGUAGGCGGUUUGUCGCGUCGGCCGUGAAAACCUGGGGCUUAACUCUGGGCCUGCGGUCGAUACGGGCAGACUUGAGUUCGGUAGGGGAGACUGGAAUUCCUGGUGUAGCGGUGAAAUGCGCAGAUAUCAGGAGGAACACCGGUGGCGAAGGCGGGUCUCUGGGCCGAUACUGACGCUGAGGAGCGAAAGCGUGGGGAGCGAACAGGAUUAGAUACCCUGGUAGUCCACGCCGUAAACGUUGGGCGCUAGGUGUGGGGACCAUCCNCGGUCUCCGUGCCGUAGCUAACGCAUUAAGCGCCCCGCCUGGGGAGUACGGCCGCAAGGNUNAAACUCNAAGGAAUUGACGGGGGCCCGCACAAGCGGCGGAGCAUGUGG